UACGUAGGGUGCGAGCGUUGUCCGGAAUUAUUGGGCGUAAAGAGCUCGUAGGCGGUCUGUCGCGUCGAAUGUGAAAACCCGGGGCUCAACCCCGGGCCUGCAUUCGAUACGGGCAGACUAGAGUUCGGUAGGGGAGUCUGGAAUUCCUGGUGUAGCGGUGAAAUGCGCAGAUAUCAGGAGGAACACCGGUGGCGAAGGCGGGACUCUGGGCCGAUACUGACGCUGAGGAGCGAAAGCGUGGGGAGCGAACAGG
rnacentral:rRNA from 1 species